AGCUCCAAUAGCGUAUAUUAAAGUUGUUGCGGUUAAAAAGAUCGUAGUUGGAUUUCUGCCGAGGACGACCGGUCCGCCCUCUGGGUGAGCAUCUGGAUCGGCGUGGGCAUCCUCUUGGGGAACGUAGCUGCACUUGACUGUGUGGUGCGGUAUCCAGGACCUUUACUUUGAGGAAAUUAGAAUGUUUCAAGCAGGCUCACGCCUUGAAUACAUUAGCAUGGAAUAAUAAGAUAGGACCACGGUUCUAUUUUGUCGGUUUCUAGAGCUGAGGUAAUGAUUGGUAGGGAUAGUUGGGGGCGUUCGUAUUUAUCUGUCAGAUGUGAAAUUCUUGGAUUUGUUAAAGACGGACUACUGCGAAAGCAUUUGCCAAGGAUGUCCUCA
rnacentral:rRNA from 1 species